UGCUACAUAGAGCCACAGUUGCGACGCCUAAGGCAGAUUAAAGAAGGUUGCUUUGAAUUGUGCAGGGGGCAUCUGGGGGCACACACUGAGGCAUGCAGAAGGAGCAGGGGCUUACAGGAGGCAUAGAGGGAAACACCUGCAGCAGGAGAGCAACACUUGGAAGCAGAAAGAAGAAGCUUUGGCAGAAUGGGCUCCUUUGACUACAGAUUGGCAUCGGACCCUUGGUGGAGUGAGUGUGCGUUUUCCAGAUUCCCCAUCUGGAGGAAGGAGAAGAAGGCUGUGUUCACAACCUGCCACAAGCGAGAGAAGAGAAUGAAUUCCAGGGACAUAGUAUCACAAGAACCCGCCAUCUGGAUUCCCAGAUUUGAUCUGGGUCUUAGAGUCAGGAUUUCUCUGGGGCUGAGAUUUUUCUUUAAAAAAAAAAAAAAGAUAAUUUUUGUAUGGAGAGAAAUGAUUAAAAUGCACUGCUGAUUGUUUAGACCAAUUUACCAAGUUUAUGAUGAAAUGAUAAUAGAUCUGUCUAUUCA